GUACUCGCAUCGGAGGUUCUUAUAUCAAAUUUAUAACGAUGCAGAGAACGUUAUUAUGGCCCUUGCGCAAAGAUCACAUGAAGAGUUGAGAAUUUUUCUUUUACGUU